rnacentral:rRNA from 1 species
UACGUAGGGUGCGAGCGUUAAUCGGAAUUACUGGGCGUAAAGCGUGCGCAGGCGGCUUUGCAAGACAGAUGUGAAAUCCCCGGGCUCAACCUGGGAACUGCAUUUGUAACUGCAAGGCUAGAGUACGGCAGAGGGGGAUGGAAUUCCGCGUGUAGCAGUGAAAUGCGUAGAUAUGCGGAGGAACACCAAUGGCGAAGGCAAUCCCUUGGGCCUGUACUGACGCUCAUGCACGAAAGCGUGGGGAGCAAACAGG